rnacentral:rRNA from 1 species
GACGAACGCUGGCGGCGUGCCUAAUACAUGCAAGUCGAGCGGACCGGAUUGGGGCUUGCCUUGAUUCGGUCAGCGGCGGACGGGUGAGUAACACGUGGGCAACCUGCCCGCAAGACCGGGAUAACUCCGGGAAGCCGGAGCUAAUACCGGAUAACACCGAAGACCGCAUGGUCUUCGGUUGAAAGGCGGCCUUUGGGCGGUCACUUGCGGAUGGGCCCGCGGCGAAUUAGCUAGUUGGUGAGGUAACGGCUCACCAAGGCGACGAUGCGUAGCCGGCCUGAGAGGGUGACCGGCCACGCUGGGACUGAGACACGGCCCAGACUCCUACGGGAGGCAGCAGUAGGGAAUCUUCCGCAAUGGGCGAAAGCCUGACGGAGCGACGCCGCGUGAGCGAAGAAGGCCUUCGGGUCGUAAAGCUCUGUUGUGAGGGACGAAGGAGCGCCGUUCGAAGAGGGCGGCGCGGUGACGGUACCUCACGAGAAAGCCCCGGCUAACUACGUGCCAGCAGCCGCGGUAA